rnacentral:rRNA from 1 species
CCUUGAUAGUCAACCUGCCCUAGAGACAUGGACAACCCCGGCAAACUGGGAUUAAUCCGUGAUAGGUCAUCUCAUCUGGAAGGAGAGAUGGCUUAAAGGGAUGUAUGGGCUUCUUCCGUGCAUUCGCUCUAGGAUGGGACUGCGUCCGAUCAGGCUGUUGGCGGGGUAAUGGCCCACCAAGCCUGUAACCGGUACGGGCCUUGAGAGAGGUGGCCCGGAGAUGGACACUGAGAGAAGGGUCCAGGUCCUACGGGGCGCAGCAGGCGCGAAACCUUCGCAAUGCGCGAAAGCGUGACGAGGUUAAUCCGAGUGGUCCCCGCUGAGGGGAUCUUUUGUCAGCUGUAAAUAGGCAGGCGAAUAAGGGGAGGGCAAGCCUGGUGUCAGCCGCCGCGGUAAUACCAGCUCCUCGAGUGGUCGGGGCGAUUAUUGGGCCUAAAGCAUCCGUAGCCGGUUCCGUAGGUCCUCUGUUACAUCCAACCGCUCAACGGUUGACCUGCAGAGGAUACCGCGGGACUAGGAAGCGGGAGAGGCGGACGGUACUCCGCGUGUAGGGGUAAAAUCCUUUGAUCCGCGGAAGA